rnacentral:rRNA from 1 species
UACGGGGGGGUGCGAGCGUUGUCCGGAAUCACUGGGCGUAAAGGGCGCGUAGGUGGUUUGAUAAGGGUGUGGUGAAAGUCCGGGGCUCAACCCCGGAUCUGCCGUGCCGACUGUCAAACUCGAGGACUGUAGAGGCAGACGGAAUUCCGGGUGUAGGCGGUGGAAUGCGUAGAGAUCCGGAGGAAGACCGGUGGCGAAGGGCGGUCUGGCUGGGCAGUUUCUGACACUGAGGCGCGACAGCCG